UUCGGCCCGCAAAUUCUGGAGAAUAGUUAUCCAUUUCUCUUCUGAGAUGUCGUCCCGCCUCGGUAUGGCCACGAAUUCCCUUAAUGGGGAAUAAUCCUUAGAGAAAACCCGAUAAGAGACCUUCUCCACCCUCCAGAAAUGGCUAUGGAACCAAGCUAAAAGAAGCUGAGCACAACCAAUAAAUCUUCGCUCGCCCGCUCUCCGGCAUGC
rnacentral:lncRNA from 1 species